AAGAAAAGCCCUUUGAAAGCUCCCUUUUUAGAGGAGGGGAGAAAGGAGAAGAAAAGGAAAAGGAAAAAAUAGAUAAUAAAUUUCAGCUAUGAAAAAAAUAGUUAAAGGGAUAAAAAGCGGAGAAGAAUGGCAUUUCAGAGGGGGUAGUGUGUCGAUGAGCAUGCCAGCAGGAAAAGAAGUUCACCCUUAGGGGACUCAGAUGAAGAGACUGAUGAAAGGGCUGUUCAUGGGGCAUGAAGAAGGAUGCCCGGUAAAAGACAGGGGGUGAUACCAUCCUGAGGGCUGAAGGAGCAAAGGAAGAAAGAAAUAGUUUCACAGGAGAGCCCAGUGCCAGUGGGGCCACAGAGGGGAAGCCACUGGAGUUGGGGGGAUAUGGCUCCAGCUAUAGAUACAGGUCUGAAGCCGAGAGGGAGCAGGGGAGGAAAGCCCCUGACCUUUCCUUGUUGCCACUCUCUGCCUUCCUGCUGGUGCCUCCCAUUAACAGAACCCAAAAGGAACCCAGAGAGUGCGGGAGGUGGGAGAAGCAGUCAGAUUUCAGAUAAUGUGAAUGCAGAGCCAAUAGGUUUUGCUGAUUGGAUGUGGGGAGUGAAGGAAAGAAAAGCACCAGGAUGACACCUGGGCUUUUGGCCCGAGCUACUGAUUGAAUAGAGUUGCCAUUAUUGAGACGGGGAUGGCUGGAGAAGAAGCAGGGUCUGGAAGUUAAGAGUAGUUUGGUUUUGGACACGUCUGGUUUGAGAUGCCUAUUAGGCAUACAAGCAGAGAUGAUUAGGAGGAAGACAGUUGUAUGAGUCUGGCACUUAGAGGAGAUAUAAAUUUGAGAUUAAUCUGCAAAUAGAUGACCAUGAGGCUGGUUAAGAUCACCUAGAAAGGGAAUGAUACAAAAGCAAAGAGAGUCAAGGGUACUGUCCCUGUGGUCUUCCAACAUUUAGAGGUCCAGGAGAUCGGACGGAGCCAACAGGAGAGAUGGGCAAGCGUCCAGCAAAGUAGGAAGAAACAGAGAGAGGAUGAACUGAACCCCAAGUGAAGAGAGUACUUCAAGGAAAAAGGAGUACUCAGCAGUAUCACGUGUUAUUGGCUAUGAGACUUGGCAGCACAGAAGGCCCUCGUGACCCUGAGGAGAUGGUUUCAUUGAAGCAGUGGGGACAAAAGCCUGAGAGCAGUGAGUUGUGAGAGAAUGGAGGUGAGGAAGUGAAGACAGCAAAUAACUGUUUCUGUUUUGAAGAAGUUUUGCAGUAAAGAAUGGCUGUAACAGAGGAGAACUCGGCUGGAGAGAAGGUUGCUAACAGGAGACACAGCACGCGUUUUUGCGCCGAUGGGAAUGAUCUCUCAAGCAGGUGAAAAGUGAUGGUGUGAAAGCAGGGGGCACAAGUUCUCGAGCAGGAGGGACGGGACGGGCUCCAGUGACUCUGUGCACCGCGGAGGGUCGUGCCCUCAGGCACAGAGACUGCUGGAGUGAUACAGCAAAGGGAAGAUGGUGUGGACACGGAGGCAGGCGGAUUUGGGGGGAGGAAGAUAAGGUAGAUCUCUCCCGAUUGCCUCUAUUUUCUCAGUCAACUAAGAAGCAGUGUCAUCAGCUGAGAGGGGAGGCCAGCAGAGAGGGUUUCAGAGGGCUGCAGGGAGAGGAGAAAAGUGAGACGGUCCCUCUUGGAGGGAGGAAAAGAUAGCUUACCAUAAACGUGUGCGAUGACUGUCUGACCGCGGUGACAACGAAUCUGACCUGAGACCCGCCAGCAGAGCAGAAUGUCUCCACCUGCUCCGCCCUCCACAGUGAGCGGCUCAGGCACAGUCCUGAAUCCAUGAAGCGCAGCAAAGGAAGGUCGGCAUCUGCCCAUGAAGGAGAGAGCCAGGGUGGCCCGGAGCAGGGUCAGGGCCCAAAUGGAGCAAGGGAGUCAGCACGCAGGAUGGCUGCCCCGCACAGGGGUCCGAGCCGGAGUUGGGUGAGAAGGGUGCACAAGAAGGGGCUGCCACUGGCCAAAUCAGGGAUAAUUGGGGUAUCAAAAUAAAAAUAAUAGUUGUAACCUAUUGAAUAAAAUAGGAAACCAUGAGUCCAGACAGAUUUAAAUAAACGAACGCAUUGAAAGUGUGUGAAGAAAUAUAGUUUCAAAGUACCAAACGGAAUAAGAGAAACUUUGACUGGAAAGCCUGGCAGAUGCCACUUAGUCAGGUGAUCAAAGUGAACUUCAUCAGUAAUGGGACUAAACUGUACAUCACCUGAGAGGAUGCAAGAGAACAUAUCGAUACCUACCGACAGCACGUAAGCGGAAUGUAAUCAGGAAAAAACACCAGACAACACCAAAUUAAGAGACAUUUUACAAUAUAAUUGGUCUGUGAUUCUUAAAAUCGUCAAGAUUGUGAAAGUCACAGAAAGACUUCCAGACCGAAGGCGACAAACAUGACAGCUAAACACAACAUGUUAUUCUGAACCGGAUCCUUUUGCUAUAAAGCACACAAUUAGGAGAGUAUUGGUGAAACAUACAUGGGGCCUGAGAAUGAGAAGUCAGCAAUUAUGUAGUGUUAUUUUGCUGGUUAUUUGGGUUACGUAGGAGAAUGUGCUUGUAGGGAAAUGCACACCAGGCUAUUUCGGGAUGACACAGCAGGUCAGCAACUUACUCCCAAAUCGGUCAGGAAAACAAAAAGUUUUCUGUCCUGAGCUGUACUUGCAACUUUUCUGAAACUUUAU
ensembl:lncRNA